AAAUUUUGAUUUAGGAGUAAAUAGUAACUACUUUUUUACUGUGCUGAAUCAUCUGUCUUGUGUCUUGUAUUUUUCUAUUUCUUUGUCAUUGUUUAUACAAUCUUGAAUUUAUGUAAUUCUAAUUAGUCAUAACAAUAUAUAAUUUGGUGUUCAUCAUGCAUAGGUUCUGUGUCAUUGUUAUUUUUGUGUUUGUUGAACUUUCUGAAAUAGGAAGGUUUUGGUAAAGAACCUAACAAUCUAGCUGCAAAUGGGGUGAAAUUUGUCAUGUAAGUAACUGAUUCAUUUCUUAUUGAAAAAAAU
rnacentral:lncRNA from 1 species